rnacentral:rRNA from 1 species
UACGGAGGGUGCAAGCGUUAUCCGGAUUCACUGGGUUUAAAGGGUGCGUAGGUGGGUUGGUAAGUCAGUGGUGAAAUCUCCGUGCUUAACAUGGAAACUGCCAUUGAUACUACUGAUCUUGAAUUUUCAGGAGGUAAGCGGAAUAUGUCAUGUAGCGGUGAAAUGCUUAGAUAUGACAUAGAACACCAAAUUUGCGAAGGCAGCUUACUACAGGAAUAUUGACACUGAUGCACGAAAGCGUGGGGAUCAAACAGG